GAUGAACGCUGGCGGCAGGCCUAAUACAUGCAAGUCGAACGGGAUCCAGAUCAAAGCUUGCUUUGGUCUGGUGAGAGUGGCGCACGGGUGCGUAACGCGUGAGCAACCUACCCUUGUCAGGGGGAUAGCCCGGCGAAAGUCGGAUUAAUACCGCAUGACAUCAUUGAGAGGCAUCUUUCGAUGAUCAAAGAUUUAUCGGACAAGGAUGGGCUCGCGUGACAUUAGCUAGUUGGUAAGGUAACGGCUUACCAAGGCUGCGAUGUCUAGGGGCUCUGAGAGGAGAAUCCCCCACACUGGUACUGAGACACGGACCAGACUCCUACGGGAGGCAGCAGUAAGGAAUAUUGGUCAAUGGACGGAAGUCUGAACCAGCCAUGCCGCGUGCAGGAAGACGGCCCUAUGGGUUGUAAACUGCUUUUAUACGGGAACAAACGUCGGUACGUGUACCGGUCUGAGUGUACCGUAAGAAUAAGGAUCGGCUAACUCCGUG
rnacentral:rRNA from 1 species